UACGUAGGGUGCAAGCGUUGUUCGGAAUUACUGGGCGUAAAGGGCGCGUAGGCGGGUUUGCAAGUCGUCUGUGAAAUCCCCGGGCUUAACCUGGGAAUGGCAGGCGAAACUGCAGAUCUUGAGCGCUUGAGAGGUUGGCAGAAUUGCAGGUGUAGAAGUGAAAUUCGUAGAUAUCUGCAAGAACACCGGAGGCGAAGGCGGCUGACUGGCAAGACACUGACGCUAAGGCGCGAAAGCGUGGGGAUCAAACAGG
rnacentral:rRNA from 1 species